rnacentral:rRNA from 1 species
AAGAAAUUUAAUAAUUUUGAAAAUGGAUUUUUUUUUUUUGUUUUGGCAAGAGCAUGAGAGCUUUUACUGGGCAAGAAGACAAGAGAUGGAGAGUCCAGCCGGGCCUGCGCUUAAGUGCGCGGUCUUGCUAGGCUUGUAAGUUUCUUUCUUGCUAUUCCAAACGGUGAGAGAUUUCUGUGCUUUUGUUAUAGGACAAUUAAAACCGUUUCAAUACAACACACUGUGGAGUUUUCAUAUCUUUGCAACUUUUUCUUUGGGCAUUCGAGCAAUCGGGGCCCAGAGGUAACAAACACAAACAAUUUUAUUUAUUCAUUAAAUUUUUGUCAAAAACAAGAAUUUUCGUAACUGGAAAUUUUAAAAUAUUAA